rnacentral:lncRNA from 1 species
GCGAGAGAGCUGCUGUUACUGCUGCUGUGAUAGCAGCCUGGACCAUGGCCGGAUCAUACGUUGGUGGUGGAGGUGGUGGUGGCGCCGUGCCCGGCCUGGGCCUUAGGUUUGGACGAGGAGGCAUCGCGUUGCCAAAAGAAAAUGAGAGAUUAUAAGUUUUGGUGGUUGAGAGUUGAAUGAUAUUGAGCUAACUUUCUUUAAUAGUUCAAGAACUUGGUUUGACCAACACAGGGUCUUGAGCUUGAUUUACAAAUGGAGUUUGAAUAGAUAUAUUUAUGAAUUGAAUGAACUGCACAUACUUAUCAUACGAAAGAGAUAUGUCCUAUAUAUAUUAAACAUAUAGUUGUGUUACAUCCGAGUUUAGACAAAAUUUUUUGACCUUUCUAAAGGUCUCCGAUUACAGAAAGUUUAAAGAAAAUAAUACUCUUAUCUGAAGUCCUAAUUUAUAACAAAAUUCGGAAUUUUGGCAAGCACUAGUUGCGACGUACGUUGCGCAUGGAGCUUGACUCCGUGUCGGACUGCUUUGACUCCAUGAGGUGCCUAUAAAACGCGGCUUGUUGUUCCCUUAUCUCCACUAUUGCUGCGAUCGCUGCAUUCAUUUGUUCUUGGAGGGCAUUAGUGCGGUCUAGGCCAUACCCUUGCAACUUGUCCAAACGGCGGAUGUCGGAAGUGUGCACUUGUACUUCCACAUUGACCUCGCGGAUCCGGUUGGCUUGAACUCCAGAUUGAUAGCACUGGUUGGCUAGUUUACCAACCAUGACCUUGUAAGUACAUUCUCUUACUUGACCAUGACCAGUGCCACGAUUGGAAUGAUUCGUGCAGCUCCCUGUACCACCAUUUCCAUUGGAGUUUAUUUGCGAGAGAGCUGCUGUUACUGCUGCUGUGAUAGCAGCCUGGACCAUGGCCGGAUCAUACGUUGGUGGUGGAGGUGGUGGUGGCGCCGUGCCCGGCCUGGGCCUUAGGUUUGGACGAGGAGGCAUCGCGCUGCCAAAAGAAAAUGAGAGAUUAUAAGUUUUGGUGGUUGAGAGUUGAAUGAUAUUGAGUUAACUUUCUUUAAUAGUUCAAGAACUUGGUUUGACCAACACAGGGUCUUGAGCUUGAUUUACAAAUGGAGUUUGAAUAGAUAUAUUUAUGAAUUGAAUGAACUGCACAUACUUAUCAUACGAAAGAGAUAUGUCCUAUAUAUAUUAAACAUAUAGUUGUGUUACAUCCGAGUUUAGACAAAAUUUUUUGACCUUUCUAAAGGUCUCCGAUUACAGAAAGUUUAAAGAAAAUAAUACUCUUAUCUGAAGUCCUAAUUUAUAACAAAAUUCGGAAUUUU